GGGGUUGUGGCUCAGUAGCAAGAGCACUUGCCUAGCAUGCAUGAGGCCCUGGGUUCAAUCCUCAGCACCACA
rnacentral:tRNA from 1 species